AGAGUUUGAUCCUGGCUCAGGACGAACGCUGGCGGCGUGCCUAUACAUGCAAGUCGAGCGGAAUGAAGAAGAAGCUUGCUUCUUCUGAUUUUAGCGGCGGACGGGUGAGUAACACGUGGGCAACCUACCUUGUAGAUUGGGAUAACUCCGGGAAACCGGGGCUAAUACCGAAUAAUCCAUUUUGCUUCAUGGCGAAAUGUUAAAAGGCGGCUUCGGCUGUCACUGCAAGAUGGGCCCGCGGCGCAUUAGCUAGUUGGUAAGGUAACGGCUUACCAAGGCGACGAUGCGUAGCCGACCUGAGAGGGUGAUCGGCCACACUGGGACUGAGACACGGCCCAGACUCCUACGGGAGGCAGCAGUAGGGAAUCUUCCACAAUGGACGAAAGUCUGAUGGAGCAACGCCGCGUGAGUGAAGAAGGUUUUCGGAUCGUAAAACUCUGUUGUAAGGGAAGAACACGUACGAGAGUAACUGCUCGUACCUUGACGGUACCUUAUUAGAAAGCCACGGCUAACUGCGUGCCAGCAGCCGCGGUAAUAC
rnacentral:rRNA from 1 species